GCUAAUGCAUCACUUAAGCUCUGAAAAGGAUUGACUUCCCCAAGGAGAAAUCAAAUUCAUAGUGUCUCAAGGAAUCAAAUGGCUUGAGUUUCAAGGACAAGUAAAGUGCAUGGGAGUGACCAUUCUGCUGGCUCAGAGCAUCCCUCAAGUUCCACCCGGCUGGAAAAAAUUCUACCAUUGCUGGGGAAAUGUCACUGUUAGAGAAUAGAAAAUUAUUAUUCCAAAGAGUACUGAAGACUGACUGAAUGAGGUCUGGAACAUUAUUGAAAUGACACUUAUGGAUCGAAACAUGUGAAGCUUUCAUCAAAUGUCUCAUAGUUUCAAGGACGGCUGGAUUUAAUCAUUUCCAGGGAUACAUCUAAAGGAAUUCCCGUA